rnacentral:tRNA from 1 species
GCGAAGGUGUCGGAAUUGGUAGACGCGCUAGCUUCAGGUGUUAGUGUUCUUACGGACGUGGGGGUUCAAGUCCCCCCCCUCGCACCA